GUAGAGUGCAAGUCUAAUAUAGCACUGUCAAAGGUGCCGGGGCUUCUCCCGUUU
rnacentral:tRNA from 1 species